rnacentral:rRNA from 1 species
AGUGAACGCUGGCGGUAGGCCUAACACAUGCAAGUAGAACGGCAGCACAGUAAGAGCUUGCUCUUACGGGUGGCGAGUGGCGGACGGGUGAGGAAUACAUCGGAAUCUACUUUUUCGUGGGGGAUAACGUAGGGAAACUUACGCUAAUACCGCAUACGACCUACGGGUGAAAGCAGGGGAUCUUCGGACCUUGCGCGAUUGAAUGAGCCGAUGUCGGAUUAGCUAGUUGGCGGGGUAAAGGCCCACCAAGGCGACGAUCCGUAGCUGGUCUGAGAGGAUGAUCAGCCACACUGGAACUGAGACACGGUCCAGACUCCUACGGGAGGCAGCAGUGGGGAAUAUUGGACAAUGGGCGCAAGCCUGAUCCAGCCAUAUCGCGUGGGUGAAGAAGGCCUUCGGGUUGUAAAGCCCUUUUGUUGGGAAAGAAAAGCAGCAGGUUAAUACCCCGCUGUUCUGACGGUACCCAAAGAAUAAGCACCGGCUAACUUCGUG